rnacentral:misc_RNA from 1 species
CUAAGGAUGGAUCGGGAGUGAGAGUCUGUGCCACACUAGUGAGGCUAGUUCUGACAUUGAUUGCAGUAUUUUCCUUACGCAAAACACAUUUCGCUCGGACACUAAAGAUUGUGCCAGCGUGUCAGAUGCCACAUUAAACAUAGAAGACAUCCUUUUCCAGGCCAAAAUAAAAUAUGAACCAAUUGUGUCCGACAUUUCUGAUGAUGAGCUAUUGGCAGCAACCCUAGUUGCUGAGCAGAUGAAAAACCGGGAUGUGCUACCCUUGCAGACGGUGCAGGGAACUACAAAUGAUUUAAGGACCCAAACGCAGACUCGGAAAUGGUGGACAUUGGCAGAAGAAGAUUUGCUGAAAUUACGGAAUGGAAAAUCUAGUGGGCCUUUGAUUUGUUUCGUGAUUGGCAGAUAUUUCGCAAGAUGAAAGCUGUCGGUGAUGCAUCACUGAACAUCAGCCCUUUUAAGGUAUAUUAGCAUAACAUGACCAAGAAGAGCUUAAUUACUUGCUAUCUAGAUUCAUAUGUGAGGUGAAAAAGAAGAAUGGUAAAGACUACCCAGGGGAGACACUUCUUGAGCUGGUGAUCUGCGUUCAGCUUUAUUUUGAGUUGAAAGGCAAAAGUUACAAGUUCUUGUCGGAUCCAGAUUUCCUACAGCUGAGAAAUACUCUUGAUGGACUUAUGAAAGAGCUAGCAAAGGCAGGUUUUGGAAUAUGUCACAAACGAGCAAAGGAGAUUACGGUCAAGGAGGAUGAUUCAUUGUGGCAGAAGAGCGUUUUCGGCAGUUACAAUCCCACCCAGCUUCUCAACACACUGGUGUAUUUGAUUGGAUUGAAUUUCACCCUUCGUGGUGGACAGGAACACAGAAAUUUGCGAUGGAAAUCGGCGCAACUUCAAAUUCAGUGUGACAAUAAUGGUGACAAGUUCCUGAGGUACACCGAGGAUGCUUACAAAACCAGCCAAGGCGGCUUGCAACAUCGUCACCUUCAGCCAAAGGUUGUGGAUGCGCACAAGAAGGAAGACAGAGAGCGAUGUGUUGUUACAUUGUUCAGAAGUACGAGCGUCACUGUCCUCCUGAAGACAAACGACCAGACGCUUUUUACUUGCAACCGCUGGCUCAGCCAAGAGGAAAGGUUUGGUAUGCUACUCAGCUACUUGGCCGUCACAAACUGGCCCAGGUUGUUGCCCACAUGUGCAAACAAGGAGGACUGGCCGGUUACUGUAUGCAUCAGUCCCUUUGGGCCAGUGCUGCCUCACGUCUGUAUAAGGAGAAUAUUGACGAACAACUCUGUGAGGUAACUGGACAUAGAUCAAAUACUGUCUGAAACUAUAAACGCACAUCAGACAGUCUCAAACGCAAAGUCAACUCAGUUGUACUAGGCCGUGGGUCUAGUGGUAUCAUCACACCAGCCAAGAAGCCAGCAACUAGCACUACUGCCACCGAGUCUUUUGGGAUCGCGAAUUUAGAGAAUCAAGACUCUAGAAACAUCACUGUCACUGUCAACUUAAGCAUGUAGGUAUUUGUUGCAAAGCACCAAAAGAGUAAUUGUUUGGCAAUUUUGAAAUUUUUCUCCUAGGUGAAGUAAAAUGACAUUGGUUUUUAUAUACAUGUACACAGACUAUGCUAGCUAAGGUUUAUACGGUGUAAGCACUGAAAUUAAUGGUAUGAAACUUGUGCCAGUUAAAGUAGAAUUUUUGUUGAAAGUGUGCUAGUGGCUAGAAUGGAAGGGUGUAAGAAGUUCUUGUACUAAUUAAGUAAAUUGACUCAAGGUAUGGUGAAAUGUAACUUGAUACAUGCUGGAUAAAAUGUAGUCUUUUAAGGGAUACUAAAUAACAACAUGAACCUUGUGCCAGUCGAAUAAAUUGUGGACUCUGCAAUAUGUUGAGUUGACAUAAUUUUUGUUGUUUUUAAUGGCAUGCGUUUUAUGAAUUAACUUGGGCUAUGUUAAUCUGUAAGCGACUAGACAUCGGUGUUAUUGAUACUUUUUGUUUUGUAAUGUGACAAAGGUAAUGAUUGUAAUGGGUUAUUUAUAAGCACAAAAGCUCAUAACCUACAUGUACACUCAAAGAGCCUAAUUUAUUAGAGGUGUUUGAAUUAAACUUGAAAUAAAAAGUGACAUUAGUCUCCCUUGUUUGUGUUGUUUGCCAUUCAUAAGAUCCCAAAUGGUGCACUUUGCUCCAUUCCUGACAUCACAGGAGGGUGUUAAUGAACCAAGAUUCGGCCCAGCUUACCCAAUGAGAAACAAUAUGUUGACAGGGGGCAAGGGGAGGCAUGUUCCAACAAGAUUUGUCCAGGAUUGUAGCCAUUUUAAUCGAGGCUGCUUAUCGCGGUUGGAGAUUGUUCCAUUGCAGUUCGCAGUUUGCACUCACCAUCUCACUUCUGGCAUGUCUGGGUAAAGGGGCAACUCUCCAUUCACUUUGUUACAGGGAUUUGCAUGUUUACCUCCGUUUUUGCUGCAACAUGAUAACAAUAACCGAAACCUUUCCAUAACAGAUUGGGAGAUAUUCAUUGCACAUAAAUAGUGAAGUUUCAUGCAAAUUUGAUGUAAGUAAGACUAGGUAUGAUGUACA